UCUCCGUAGGUGAACCUGCGGAGGGAUCAUUACAGAGUUCAUGCCCUACCGGGUAGAUCUCCCACCCUAUGUUAUUAUUACUUUGUUGCUUUGGCGGGCCGUUAGGCUCCGGCCCGACUACCGGCCCCGGCUGGUAAGCGCCCGCCAGAGGACCCAAAACCCUGAGUAUUAGUGUCGUCUGAGUACUAUAUAAUAGUUAAAACUUUCAACAACGGAUCUCUUGGUUCU
rnacentral:misc_RNA from 1 species